rnacentral:rRNA from 1 species
GACGAACGCUAGCUACAGGCUUAACACAUGCAAGUCGAGGGACCGGCGCACGGGUGAGUAACGCGUAUCCAACCUACCCAAUACUCAGGCAUAACCCGUUGAAAGACGCACUAAUUCCUGAAGGUAUUGGAGGGGGAUGCGUGUGAUUAGUUUGUUGGUGAGGUAACGGCUCACCAAGACUUCGAUCAGUAGGGGUUCUGAGAGGAACGUCCCCCAGAUUGUAACUAGGACACGGUCCAAACUGGUACGGGAGGCAGGAAUGAGUAGUAUUGGUCAGUAGAUGCGAAUCAGAACCAGCCAAGUAGCGUGCAGGGUGACGGCCUAUAGGUUGUAGACUGCUUUUAUGUAAGAAUAGGUAUCAAAUGAGUAAGGGCCGGCUAAUUCCGUGCCAGCAGCCGCGGUAAUUC